ensembl:lncRNA
ACUUCAUUCAGAUUGUGACCUGAUAUCCCAAGAACUCUCCUGAUUUUAACUACAUUUAACCAAGAGAAUGGAGACCUAAUUCAGGAUGAAGUUCAAAAUCUUAAAUGGAGACCAGUCUUGGAUUCACUCAGAAGCAGAGCUACUCAAACUCCAGCUGUGCUGCUACAUGCUGAAGAGUCUGUGCUUUUCCAUAACAGAAACACCAGGAUGUAGUCAUGAUGGACUAAAGGAGGAGCUACCAGAAGAAUCUGUACCAGUUUGGGAAGGCAAUUCCAGUGUCUUUGUGAAAGUUGCUGGUCUAGCUGAGGCUGAGCAGGUCACCCUUGGAACAGAGAGGGCAGGAACUCUAGAAGAUAGUUUCACUUUGUUUGGGUGUCCCCCAAUUUAUCAUGCAGCAGGACUGCUUUCCCCUUAUUCUGAGAAGUUAUCUGAUGAUGAGACAAGUAAGAAAACCAAAGGUGAAGAAACCAUUUUUCUCUUGAAGGAACAAGCUAUAACUCUACCAACAAAAACAUUCCCUGCUUCUGUGGUUGAACACUUGAUGAGGAAGAAGCUCCAGCUUACUUGGUUCAAACCUGAAAGCUGCCACUCAUCAGCUGUCACCACUGUGGAGAAAGUGAGGAGUGCGAGUUUCUGUGAGGCAAAUACUAAUCUUUGGUCUGCUGGCCUCUGCAUUGUUGCAGAAGGGGGAUUUUAUGACAAAGUUCCUGUACUUUGUGGAAAGUUGCCUUCCACUGUGACUGAAAUUUUCACAGCAUGUCUAGAAAAAUACAACAUGGAAAGACAUUGGGAAAACAAGCAAAUUCUGCCAAAAAGCCUAAGUGAAAAUAGAUGUCUGGAUAAAAUUGUUGAUGAUGAAAAGUAUCACCAAAAAAUCUCUAGAGGGAGAGCUAAAGGAGAAGAAAUACAGACUGAGAAAUCCCAGCCACAACUGGUGACCUGCGUUCUUGAGGAAAGUUCUAAAGUUUUACAUAAAAUUGAAUUUAUCAGUCCUGAGAAGCAAGGAAUGGAAGCCAAAGAGAGACUAAGUAGCAUACAGGAUGUCCGAAGUUUGUCUCUUGAUUUUAAAGACUUGAUUUUAAAGAAGUGUUUUGAAGGGAGUCUUGGACUAAUGGAGAAAGAAGAAAACAUCUCAGAGAACUGCAUCUCUGAUGUGAAUAGGAGAUAUAAUGGAGAAGAUAUAAUUGAAAUGGAAGAGAAAGGAGUGCAGGCUCAGAAACCAACUCACCAAACCAACCCCUCCAGCAAUAUUGGCAUGAAAGAAAAGAAAGGCCAGACCUUGGGACUAUGUGAACCAUAUGAGAAGAAUUUCUCAUAUGAAAAAAUAGCUGCUGAAAACGUGCAAUAUGCAUACUCUCAGAAUUUCUUUUGGUCAGAUGAAGAGAGGUAUCCACUAAAAUUGCUGUUUCCUGUGCAGGAGAGUGUUGUGUGCCUAGGCAAACUAUUCCUGCCAGAGAGCAGUUUUUAUGAGUGUUUCUGUCAUCUGUCACCACUUGAAGCCUGUAAUGAAUGUAAUGUGAAAAUAUCUGUACUGGAAAAAGCAGUGACUGUGUGUUCUCACAGGAUAUUUCUACUCAUGCAAGAAAAUGAAAAUUAUUCCAAAAAAGUCUGUAUAUUAAAACAGGAGAAUGAGAGAUAUGCUCAGAUGAUGUGUGCCCUGGAAGAGGAGAUGGAUGCAUAUUUUCAGUACAUUUUAGCAGCAGAUGAAGCUAACAUUGUUUCAUUCCAAAACUUACUUAAUGAGAAAGAGGUUUCUGGUGGAUGUUACAGUAACUUAUCAGGAGAAAACACCAUGACCCCAGGAACAUUUUUAGUUAAAACUUUCUCUAAGAACCUCCCAUGUAUUGAAGAGAAAAAUAGGAAUUCUGAAAAAGACUCAUCGACAAUUGCAUCAAAUAAACUUUCCAGGAGUGUUCUAUCCCUGAAGGGAAGGAAAAUGAGGUAUUUCCAGCUACUUUCUGACCUAAAAGAAGAAAGAAGCAGAUGCUUCAAAGAAAUAGCUAAAUUAUUACAAGACAAGGAGAACUGUGUAGCAAAAUACAAUGAAUUAAUACAGGAGAGAGAGGAAAAUUUACAAAGAAUAGCUCUUUCAGAGCGUGAAAAAGAAACUUUGUUGGGACAUUUAGCAGAGAUAAAGUGUGAGCAAGACAAAUACAAGACCUUGGUUUCAGAACUCCAAGACUGCAAAACCAGCUGUUAUAAAAGAAUUUCUGAUUUACAGGAGGAAAAAUAUGUGCUGAAAAGAGAGAUAGACAAAAUCAAGAAAGAAACUUCAGAGCGGCUAGAUGAAUUUCAGAAAGCAAAUACAAACUUUAUUUUAGAAAAUAAAAAAUUGAAAGAAUUAGUGUCUUCUUUGGGUUUCACCUAUGAAGAGCUGAGAAAAGAGAAAAGUUUGGGAACAAAGAAAAAGAUAGUAAAAGUAAAAGAAGAAAGUCAGCAACAUGGUCUUAAGCCAAAGAAAUUUGAAACAGUGUGUAGUGUAACACAAACUGAAGAAGAAGUAGUUCUGGUUAUAAAUCCUUCAAACUAUUUCCCUGGGAAGGAGGUAAAUAAUAACAGGAAGGAGUGUUGUGAAGCAGUGUCUUCUAAAGAAAGGGGGAGAUAUAAAA